GUUUAUGGCCAUACCAUCCUGAACACACCCGAUGUUACCUGAUCUCAGAAGCUAAGCAGCAUUGGGCCUCGUUUGUACUUGGAUGGAGAAUGGACAGGGACUUCCAGCUCAGCUGCCCACU
rnacentral:rRNA from 1 species